AUGGCUGGCAUGUCGGCUCUGAAGCGACUGGCGCCUUUCGAUCACGUUGGAGGCCACCUCUUCAGAGGCCGCUCCGCGAGGGUGGCUGGAGCCCGUGGCGUCCGUCGGGCUGGCGGAGGUGCGCACAUUGAGCCCCGGUACAGAGUUCCCGCAGCUGACCAGAUCCCAGGUGAUCCAGGCCGAGUUCUUCAGUGCGACCAUGUGGUUCUGGAUUCUCUGGCGCUUCUGGCACGACUCAGAUGCUGUGCUGGGUCACUUUCCUUAUCCCGACCCUUCCCAGUGGACGGAUGAGGAAUUGGGUAUCCCUCCGGAUGAUGAAGACUGA
rnacentral:lncRNA from 1 species